rnacentral:RNase_P_RNA from 1 species
GGAGUUGGCCGAGACAAUCGCCGCCCUAUUGCCUUUCGGGGUUUUAGGGGAGAGGAAAGUCCGGGCUCCAUAGGGCAGGGUGCCAGCUAACGGCUGGGCGGCGUGAGCCGACGACAAGUGCAGCAGAGAGAAGACCGCCUAAGCAUGAUUUAUCAUGCCGGUAAGGGUGAAAGGGUGCGGUAAGAGCGCACCGCACCGCUGGCAACAGUGUGUGGCAAGGUAAACUCCACCCGGAGCAAGACCAAAUAGGGUUUCAUUACUUUAAAUAGUAUACGCGCGGCCCGCGUGGAAACCGGGUAGGUUGCUUGAGCCAGUGAGCGAUUGCUGGCCUAGAUGAAUGAUUGUCCAAGACAGAACCCGGCUUAAUGGCCAACUCCACCC